rnacentral:rRNA from 1 species
AGGACGAACGCUGGCGGCGUGCUUAACACAUGCAAGUCGAACGGAAAGGCCCUUCGGGGUACUCGAGUGGCGAACGGGUGAGUAACACGUGGGUGAUCUGCCCUGCACUUUGGGAUAAGCCUGGGAAACUGGGUCUAAUACCGAAUACACCUUGCCGGCUGCAUGGUUGGUGGGGGAAAGCUUUUGCGGUGUGGGAUGAGCCCGCGGCCUAUCAGCUUGUUGGUGGGGUGAUGGCCUACCAAGGCGACGACGGGUA